rnacentral:rRNA from 1 species
UACGGAGGGUGCGAGCGUUGUCCGGAAUCACUGGGCGUAAAGGGCGCGUAGGUGGCGCGACAAGUCAACGGUGAAAGCUCGGCGCUCAACGCCGAGUCGGCCGUCGAUACUGUUGGGCUUGAGCACUGUAGAGGCUAAUGGAAUUCCGGGUGUAGCGGUGGAAUGCGUAGAGAUCCGGAAGAACACCGGUGGCGAAGGCGGUUAGCUGGGCAGUGCUGACACUGAGGCGCGACAGCGUGGGGAGCAAACAGGG